CCCCAGAAGGAUAAGCGUUUCAGUGGCUCAGUGAAGCUGCCACAUAUUCCCCGCCCCAAAAUGAAAAUUUGCAUGCUUGGAGAUGCUCAGCAUGUAGAGGAGGCAGAAGGAAUAGGUUUACAAUGGAUGGAUGUGGAAGCAUUGAAGAAGCUAAACAAAAACAAGAAAUUGGUCAAGAAGCUUGCCAAGCAGUAUCAUGCCUUUUUGGCUUCAGAAUCAGUCAUCAAGCAGAUUCCUCGUCUUCUGGG
rnacentral:misc_RNA from 1 species